GUGAUUGCUCAUGUUCACAAAAUCUCCACUUCAGGGAAUAUCAACCAUAUUUAUGGAAGGAAAAUGCCUUCUAGGGCAAAUACAAAUUCAACAAUAUAGUAAAGUUAUUCUUUACAUGAUGCAUAGUUAAAUCUCAGCAGAUGAAAUAUCAGCAGGUUCAUUAACUUACCACUCUACAUGGGGGCAUACUUGAUGAAACAAGUGGUGCUAUAGGAAAGAGUUAUGAGGUAGUGAAAUUUCAGAUCGUCGGCUUUAGUGCUUGCUUAAUCCUGCUUCUCUGUUGUAGAGGAAAAAGUCCCUGCUCACCAGUCAGAUGUAUCUUAUUAUUCUUAUGAAUAUGAUGUUGAUCCAUACACUGCUGAAAAUGAGGAUGGCAUGGAGAUGGCCAUCGAAUUCACAACAGCUGCAAGCUCAGCAGAAGAAGCCAAAAAAGGAAAAGCGUUGGAAACUCUCGAAUGAUAAUGAAGCCGUACAGAUCAUAUAUUUUUCUUGGCCAACCCAAUAAAGACUUGGAUCACAAUAAUAUAUCCCUUAAUUACAA